UAGGGAAUCUUCCACAAUGGACGCAAGUCUGAUGGAGCAACGCCGCGUGAGUGAAGAAGGUUUUCGGAUCGUAAAGCUCUGUUGUUGGUGAAGAAGGAUAGAGGCAGUAACUGGUCUUUAUUUGACGGUAAUCAACCAGAAAGUCACGGCUAACUACGUGCCAGCAGCCGCGGUAAUACGUAGGUGGCAAACGUUGUCCGGAUUUAUUGGGCGUAAAGCGAGCGCAGGCGGAAUGAUAAGUCUGAUGUGAAAGCCCACGGCUCAACCGUGGAACUGCAUCGGAAACUGUCAUUCUUGAGUGCAGAAGAGGAGAGUGGAAUUCCAUGUGUAGCGGUGGAAUGCGUAGAUAUAUGGAAGAACACCAGUGGCGAAGGCGGCUCUCUGGUCUGCAACUGACGCUGAGGCUCGAAAGCAUGGGUAGCGAACAGG
rnacentral:rRNA from 1 species